AGGUACCGUCUGAUGUAAGGUGGUAUUACUACCCUACACUAUCGUCCCUGCCGAAAGGGAUUUACGAUCCGAAAACCUUCAUCACCCACGCGGCGUCGCACCAUCAGGGUUUCCCCCAUUGUGGAUGCUUCUC
rnacentral:rRNA from 1 species